AGCGAACAAAAUGCAAUCAAUCUAACACCAUUUAAAUUUAAGUCAUUUUAAUUAGAUCAAGAACAACAACACAACAAAUAUUCAUAAACAUGAUCUCAACAUAAACGAGAAAAAAUAAAGAGAAAAGAACUAGGAAACAAAUCCCGAUGUUUCUUCGAAGCUAAACUAAUGCGCUCCUCUUCUCUUCUGCUUGUCCUAUCAAUCCAAGGCCUUCAUGAGCACUUGAAUGCUACUACUCCAAUGGGCGUUCUAACUCUUUUUCAAGAGGGAAAAUCGAAAAGGGAAGGAGGACAAAGGAAAUGGGAAAACAAGAAAGGGAAUGGAAUAGACUGGAAGAGAGAAAUGUCAAUUAAGG
rnacentral:lncRNA from 1 species